UUAUACAGCGACUGCGAAUGGCUCAUUAUAUAAGUUAUCGUUUAUUUGAUAGUACCUUACUACUUGGAUAACCGUGGUAAUUCUAGAGCUAAUACAUGCUGAAAAUCCCGACUUCGGAAGGGAUGUAUUUAUUAGAUUAAAAACCAAUGCCCUCUGGGCUCCUUGGUGAUUCAUAAUAACUUUUCGAAUCGCACGGCCUUGCGCCGGCGAUGGUUCAUUCAAAUUUCUUCCCUAUCAACUUUCGAUGUUUGGGUAUUGGCCAAACAUGGUCGCAACGGGUAACGGAGGGUUAGGGCUCGACCCCGGAGAAGGAGCCUGAGAAACGGCUACUACAUCCAAGGAAGGCAGCAGGCGCGCAAAUUACCCAAUCCCGAUUCGGGGAGGUAGUGACAAUAAAUACUGAUACAGGGCUCUUUUGGGUCUUGUAAUUGGAAUGAGUACAAUUUAAAUCUCUUAACGAGGAACAAUUGGAGGGCAAGUCUGGUGCCAGCAGCCGCGGUAAUUCCAGCUCCAAUAGCGUAUAUUAAAGUUGUUGUGGUUAAAAAGCUCGUAGUUGAACCUUGGGCCUGGCUGGCCGGUCCGCCUCACCGCGUGUACUGGUCCGGCCGGGCCUUUCCCUCUGUGGAACCUCAUGCCCUUCACUGGGUGUGGCGGGGAAACAGGACUUUUACUUUGAAAAAAUUAGAGUGCUCCAGGCAGGCCUAUGCUCGAAUACAUUAGCAUGGAAUAAUAAAAUAGGACGUGUGGUUCUAUUUUGUUGGUUUCUAGGACCGCCGUAAUGAUUAAUAGGGACAGUCGGGGGCAUCAGUAUUCAAUUGUCAGAGGUGAAAUUCUUGGAUUUAUUGAAGACUAACUACUGCGAAAGCAUUUGCCAAGGAUGUUUUCAUUAAUCAGAACGAAAGUUAGGGGAUCGAAGACGAUCAGAUACCGUCGUAGUCUUAACCAUAAACUAUGCCGACUAGGGAUCGGACGAUGUUAUUUUUUGACGCGUUCGGCACCUUACGAGAAAUCAAAGUGCUUGGCUCAGGGGGAGUAUGGUCGCAAGGCUGAAACUAAAGAAAUGACGAGGCACACAAGGGUGGAGCUGCCGCUAUUGACUCACACGGGCAC
rnacentral:rRNA from 1 species